UAAGGUCCAUAUGUCAUUCUUUUGACUAUC
rnacentral:piRNA from 1 species